AUUUAUGGCGGCGGUGCGUUGGGAGCCGAAAGGCUCGCCGGUUGCCUGUUUGCCGGUCCGCCAACCUGCGCACCGUCCGCCACCUUU
rnacentral:antisense_RNA from 1 species